rnacentral:lncRNA from 1 species
GCAUAGCGACAGGUGAGCGCGCCAGGAUCUCCGGCGUUUUAACUUGCCCGCAACAGGAGUUUCUUGGGCCUUUUCCAGGACUGCUUUCUCAGAAGACACAAAUCGCCCUAACCACAGAAUUCUGGGUGUCACAAAUCGGCUUACCUGAGCUGUGCAAAUGACAACGGAGCUGGGACACGGAGGGUGUAUCAGAGAGAGCCAAAAGAAUAAAGGAAGGAAAAGGUAUUUUAGGCAGAACGUUCUCUGAGUUCAAAGAAUGGGAAGUUCAGUAAACUGUGUAGAGGUGAAGUAAGGGAUGAAUGAGGCUGGGGAGGGACAUAGCCAUCACUGUAGCCUUAAAAAAGUUGAGGAGUUUGGACUUUAUCAUAAAAAUCAUCGAAUAAUUUUAAGCUGGAGAGUGACUUGAUAUGUGUUUUAGGGAGAUAAUUGCUGUGGAUCAGAAUGGAUUAGAAAAGACAGGGAGAACCCUUAGGCUGUUGACUUCAUCUUGGGAAGAGGUGUUGGUGGCCUGAAGCAGCACUGGGAAUAGAGAGAGGUAGAUAGACGCUGCAUUUAUUUUGUACAUUUGUGGUUCCUAAUAUUACUGCCAGAUAUUUUGGGAAAUAGAAUACAUAGGACUUAGCAAUUGAUUGAUGUAGGAAGUAAGGAAGAGAGAUGUCAAAAACAAAUUCUGAAUUCUCAGAAUUCCCUUUGGGCAGCUGUGGGUUUGGUUUCUUCAUUGACAGAAAAAACACAAGAGGGCUGGAGAAGGUUUUCCGGCCUGGUGUGGGGAGUUCACUUUAGGACAUAUUGAGUUUGAGGUACAGCUGAUGAACAGAUUAAUUUAAGAAGGCAUUUCACUGGGGAAUUUCAGAUAUAAGGCAGGAAACAUAGCAGUGAUCAUUUGCGACCUCAUUUUCAAAGCUUUUUUUGUGUCCUUUGGUUUAUCAUUUUUUAUUGAGAUAUAAUUGACAUAUAGCAUUGUUAGUUUCAAAUGUACAACAUAAUGGUUAGAUAUUUGUAUGUAUUGCACAGCGAUUGCCACAGUAAUCUUGUUAACGUCCAUCACCAUAUAUAGUUACGAAAAUUAUUUUUUCUUGUGAUGAAACUUAUGAAGAUGUACUCUGUUGGCAACUUUCAAAUACAAAAAUAUGGAAUGUUUCACACAUGUGCUUGUCAUCCUUUUGCAGGGUCCAUGCUAAUUCUCUGUAUUGUUCCAAUUUUAGUAUAUGUGCUGGUGACGUGAGCACUAGUUUAUUUAUCUUGAUGGAGAGCUUGUCAUUAGGGAACCAUUUUGUUCAGGCAGUUUUUUGGGACAGGCAUACCAACAAUUUCUUGCUCUUUUGUUCUCUAUUCCUGUUUUCCUUUCUGAAUCUUAUCCAUACUAAAUGUGAUGGGCUUAGAACAGUAGCAAAAGGAAGCAACAUGGGCCUGAUCACUUUUCAGUAAAUUUAUUCAGUUGAAUUAAAUGGCCAGAUCUGGAUGAGAAAGGAGAGAAUGGCAGCCUAGAAUCCCUAAGCUAAAUGUUCUUCUCAGCCUAGGGACCUUGCUUUUCUUCUAAGGCCCCCUUGUUUUAUCUUUCUUUUGGGUUAGUUCCCUGCCUCAUCUGGCUUUCUUUUUCAUCCUCAUAAAUCUCCAGUACCCUGUUAUGCAAGUGGAUAAUAGUUUGCUAAUUGCUGCACUUAUUUUGUACUUGUGUGGUUCUUAAUACUGCCAGAACAAUGGCAUUUUCAAAGUCCUUUGCUAUUCUACACAACUUUUUUAAAAAGGAAGAAAUGGAUUCGGGUGCCUGGGUGGCUCAGUUGCAUAAGCAUCCGGCUUCAGCUCAGGUCAUGAUCUCACAGUUCAUGUGUUUGAGCCCCAUGUCGGGCUCUGUGCUGACCACUCAGAGCCUGGAGCCUGAUUCAGAAUCUGUGUCUCCCUUUCUCUGUGACCCUCCCCCACUUGUGCUCUGUCUCUCUCUGUCUCUCAAAAAUAAAUAAAAACAUUAAAAAAAUAAAAAGGAAGAAACAGAAAAACAAGGAGAAGGAAAACACAAGCUCCUGCAGUGUUGGAGUUAGGCCUUGUAGACAGAGUUCCUCACUAUUUCUUUUUGUUUUUCCUUUCUUCAUUUAACAAACAUCUCUUGGCAUUUAUUUUGUGCCAGAAACUGUUUUAGGUGCAUUCCUGUGGAUAGUUGGGGGAGUGGGAGUAUAUGUUCCACCCACUGUUCCCUAUCUUGAAUUUAUUUUUUUUUUAUUUUAUUUUUAUUUAAAAAAAAAUUUUUUUUUCAACGUUUAUUUAUUUUUGGGACAGAGAGAGACAGAGCAUGAGCAGGGGAGGGGCAGAGAGAGAGGGAGACACAGAAUCGGAAGCAGGCUCCAGGCUCUGAGCCAUCAGCCCAGAGCCUGACGCGGGGCUCGAACUCACGGACCGCGAGAUCGUGACCUGGCUGAAGUCGGACGCUUAACCGACUACGCCACCCAGGCGCCCCUUGAAUUUAUUUUUUACAUUUCAAACUUAAUUCAUGCUCACUGCAAUAAAAUAAUUAAAAAAUAUAAAUGUGUAAUAGAAAAAGUAAGUCCUCACCCUAUCCACUUCCUCUCCCAAUUCAUUCCACAGAAGUAAUAAUUUUUGCUAUUUUGGUGUAUUUCUUUUCACACAUUUUUUUUGCACACAUAAGUAGAUAAGUCGUGUGUGUGUGUGUGUGUGUGUGUGUGUGUGUAUGUGUGUGUAUGCAGAUUCCCUAGAAAAGACCCUGAGUUGAGGAUUAUUUUGAAAAUCACUUAAGAAAGUGUUCCCAGAAAGAAGGAACAUAUGUAAAUAUCAUAAAAGCCAUUUAUGAAAAGCCCACAGCUAAUAUCAUCCUCAAUGGGGAAAACUGAGAACUUUCCCCCUGAGAUCAGGAACAUGACAGGGAUGUCCACUCUCACUGCUGUUGUUUAACAUAGUGUUGGAAGUUCUAGCAUCAGCAAUCAGACAACAAAAGGAAAUCAAAGGCAUCAGAAUUGGCAAAGAUGAAGUCAAGCUUUCACUUUUUGCAGAUGACAUGAUAUUAUACAUGGAAAACCCGACAGACUCCACCGAAAGUCUGCUAGAACUGAUACAUGAAUUCAGCAAAGUUGCAGGAUACAAAAUCAAUGUACAGAAAUCAGUUUCAUUCUUAUACACUAAUAAUGAAGCAACAGAAAGACAAAUAAAGAAACUGAUCCCAUUCACAAUUGCACCAAGAAGCAUAAAAUACCUAGGAAUAAACCUAACCAAAGAUGUAAAAGAUCUGUAUGCUGAAAACUAUAGAAAGCUUAUGAAGGAAAUUGAAGAAGAUANNNNNNNNNNNNNNNNNNNNNNNNNNNNNNNNNNNNNNNNNNNNNNNNNNNNNNNNNNNNNNNNNNNNNNNNNNNNNNNNNNNNNNNNNNNNNNNNNNNNNNNNNNNNNNNNNNNNNNNNNNNNNNNNNNNNNNNNNNNNNNNNNNNNNNNNNNNNNNNNNNNNNNNNNNNNNNNNNNNNNNNNNNNNNNNNNNNNNNNNNNNNNNNNNNNNNNNNNNNNNNNNNNNNNNNNNNNNNNNNNNNNNNNNNNNNNNNNNNNNNNNNNNNNNNNNNNNNNNNNNNNNNNNNNNNNNNNNNNNNNNNNNNNNNNNNNNNNNNNNNNNNNNNNNNNNNNNNNNNNNNNNNNNNNNNNNNNNNNNNNNNNNNNNNNNNNNNNNNNNNNNNNNNNNNNNNNNNNNNNNNNNNNNNNNNNNNNNNNNNNNNNNNNNNNNNNNNNNNNNNNNNNNNNNNNNNNNNNNNNNNNNNNNNNNNNNNNNNUUCUGCACUGCAAAGGAAACAAUCAACAAAACUAAAAGGCAACCAAUGGAAUGGGAAAAGAUAUUUGCAAAUGACAUAUCGGACAAAGGGCUAGUAUUCAAAAUCUAUAAAGAACUCGCCAAACUCCACACCUGAAAAACAAAUAAUCCAGUGAAGAAAUGGGCAGAAAACAUGAAUAGAUACUUUUCCAAAGGAGACAUUCAGAUGGCCAACAGGCACAUGAAACAAUGCUCAAUGUCACUCCUCAUCAGGGAAAUACUAAUCAAAUCUACACUGAGCUACCAUCUCAUGCCAGUCAGAGUGGCUAAAAUGAACAAAUCAGGAGACUAUAGAUGCUGGAGAGGAUGUGGAGAAACGGGAACCCUCUUGCACUGUUGGUGGGAAUGCAAACUGGUGCAGCCACUCUGGAAAACAGUGUGGAGGUUCCUCAAAAAAUUAAAAAUAGAUCUACCCUAUGACCCAGCAAUAGCACUGCUAGGAAUUUACCCAAGGGAUACAGGAGUGUUGAUGCAUAGGGGCACUUGUACCCCAAUGUUUAUAGCAGCACUUUCAACAAUAGCUAAAUUAUGGAAAGAGCCUAAAUGUCCAUCAACUGAUGAAUGGAUAAAGAAAUUGUGGUUAAUAUACAGGAUGGAAUACUACUUGGCAAUGAGAAAGAAUGAAAUAUGGCCUUUUGUAGCAAUGUGGAUGGAACUGGAGCGUAUUAUGCUAAGUGAAAUAAGUCAUACAGAGAAAGACAGAUACCAUAUGUUUUCACUCUUAUGUGGAUCCUGAGAAACUUAACAGAAGACCAUGGGGGAGGGGAAGGAAAAAAAAAGUUAGGGAGCCAAAACAUAAGAGACUCUUAAAAGCUGAGAAUAAACUGAGGGUUGGUGGGGGGUGGGAGGGAGGGGAAAGUGGGUGAUGGGCAUUGAGGAGGGCACCUUUUGGGAUGAGCACUGGGUGUUGCAUGGAAACCAAUUUCACAGUAAAUUUCAUAUUAAAAAACAAUUAAAAAAAAAGAAAGUGUUCUCAGGGUGCAAUAUUGUGAUUUAUAAGAAAUAUUUAUUUCAUCAUUUAGAUGACCAAAUUUAUCUAAGAUAUGUUUUCAUCUAUGGUUCUUGGCUUACAACUCACAGCUCCCCAAAAACCCUUGGUAUUUUCUGAGCAAUAAGAAAACUGGAAACAUCUUUUGUUAUAAUAUUUGUCCUCUUGUCCUCAGUUCCUGAAAUCACUUCAGAGCCAGAAAGGUGUAAUGGAUGUCUUGUUAUUCAUAACAAGCUCCUGUCCAUCACAAAUAAGAUUAUGUUAAUAAGAUGACUUUUGGAAAGCACCUGCAGAUGGGGGCUAGUUGCCAGGGGAACCAACCAUGAAUAGAGGUUUGGAACUUUCAGUCCCACUUCCUGAUUUUCACAGAGGGGAGAGAGGCUGGAGGUUCAAUCAAUCACCAGUGACCAAUAAUUGCAUUAAUCAUGUCUAUGUAAUGAAGCCUCCAGAAAAGCCCAAAAGGAGGAAGUUCAGAGAGCUUCCAGUUUAGGGAACCAGAAUGCUUCCAUAUGCCAACAUGCAGGCCCCAAACUCCAGAAGGACAUAAGUUCAUUUGUUUGGGACUUCACUCUAUGUAUCUCUUCAUCUGGCUGUUGUUUUUACCCUUUAAUAUCCUUUGUAAUAAAUCAGUAAUUUAGUGAGUAAAAGUUUCCUGAAUUCUGUGAGCCUCUGUAACAAAUUAAUUGAACCCAAGGAGGGGGUCAUGGGAAUCUCUGAUUUAUAUCUAGUCAGUCAGAAGUACAGGUAAGACCUGGACUUGCAAUUGGCAUCUGAAGUCCAAGGCAGGGUGGGCGUGGGGUUUGUAGGAACUUCCAAUCUGUAGCCAGUUGGUCAGAAGCACAGGUAACAACCUGGGCUUACGAUUGGUAUCUGAAAUGGAGAGAAGUCUUGUGGGUCUGAUUCCUUAAUCUGUGGUAUCUGAUGCUAUUUUAGGUAGAUAAUGUCAGAAUUUAUUUGAAUUAUAGGAUACUCACCUGGUGUUACAGAAUUGUUCAAAGUGUGGGAAAAACCUACAUGCCACCACAUUGGGACUGGGUAUAGGACAUAUUACAGGGGAACUGAUAAAGAAGUUGGGAAGUGAGAUAGGGAAAAGAUGAGAGCCAAGGAAGAUGCAAUAUUAGGGACAUCUGCAGAGGACUGUUUCAGCCUGAUCCCAUAGGGGAGUUCUGGAGUAUAAAUUAUAUACCAGAGUUGUCUCGACCAGAAGGAUGGGAGAUGGACUUGCACUCUCUCAUUCAUGAUUUUCACUGGUUAAGGGAAAAGGCACAGACACAUUUAACUCUCUGCACAUACAGGCAAAGCCAUUCUAAUUGGCCAAGCAAGGAUGGUUCUCCAAACAAGAACCACUGGUGCAGGCAUUUGGAAGUGAAAGCUGGUUGAAAUUGAUGUGUGUGUGCAGAGUGGUACAAAAUGAUCUGAGGGGGUGUAUUAGGGUACUCCAAAGAAAUAGAAUCAACAGGAUGUAUAUGCAUAUAGAUAUUUAUUUUAAGGAAUUGGCUCACAUGUUUAUGGAAGCUGGCAAGUCUAAAAUCUGCAGACCCAGAGAAAAGCCAACACUACAGUCUAAGUCCAAAGGCCAUUAUGCUAAAUACCCAGGAAAGAGUCAAAGUGGUGUUCAAGUAUGAAGGCUAUCAGGCUGGUGACACAGAAAGAAGCUGAUGUUGCAGAAUUCCCUCUUGAUCAGGAGAGGUCAGUCUUUUUUAUUCAGACCUUCAUUUAUAGGAUGAGGCCCACCUACAUUAUGGAAGGUGAUCUGCUUUACUCAGUCUAUGAGUUUAAAAUUUUUUUUAAUAUUUAUUUAUUUUUGAGAGAGAGACAGAGUGUGAGCAGGGGAGGGGCAGAGAGAGAGAGGGAGAUACAGAAUUCGAAGCAGGCUCCAGGCUCCGAGGUGUCAGCACAGAGCCCCAAGUGGGGCUCAAACUCAUGAACCAUGUGAUCAUGACCUGAACUGAAGUUGGACGCUUAACUAACUGAGCCACCCAGGCGCCCCUCAGUCUACCAGUUUAAAUGUUAACCUCAUCCCAAAAUGCCCCCACAGAAAUAUUUAGAAUAAUGUUGGAAAACAUAUUUGGGUGCCAAUGCCCAGCCAAGUUGACAUAUAAAAUUAACUAUCACAUCUGCUCUGUUUUAGUUCUUACUCUCUCCUUGAUGCCUAGCCCCAUUCCACCCUAGCCCUACUCCACAAGUUCUCUCCUCAUGGUUGCAGAAUGGCUCAUACACUUAUACUACACUGAUCAUAGGAAGGAAGAAGGAUCUUUCUUAGUAACCCCAAAGGAAGAGAGAUGAUCUUCAGCAGGCCUCAAGACGGGUGGAUAAUACUGGAUGUGGUAGAUUGUUGCUGUAAUGACGCCUAAUUUGUUUAAACCUCCCUGAAGUACUCCUUUAGGCCAGUUGCAGGUCCCAGGAAUGUAAAGGCAGUGGGUCUGUGAGGGCAUUUCUCACUGCUGCCACAUUCCCUGAAAGUCUGAGGAGGACCCAAAGGAGCACUGAUCCAGAAGCAAACUGUUCUGAAAUCUACCAUCUGGUGCCAGAUUUUGGAGCUUCAGAGUCACAACAGGGAUUCCAGAAGGGUUCACUGGAGACCUGUGGGUUUCUUUUGGAUACUUUUUUUCAGUUUACCAAGAAACCAGUUUCAAGAGUUCCCAUGAAAGUUAUGUAGGGAAGGAGGGAUUAGAAGUAGACAAUGUGGAGGAGGAAGGCAAGGUUGACAAGGCUCUGGGCUAUAGGAUCCUAGGGUUCAAAUUUCUACUUGAGUUUCCUUGUGUUAUAAACCUUAAAGUAUAAACUCUGUCCCUGAAAGCCUUGUAGGGAUCUCACCCCUGAGGGAUUGAGAGAGAAAUUGUGAGUCUCUCCUUAUGGGUUCUGUAUCUGUCAGGACAACUUCACACAAACUCCCUAGCUCAUCCUUCUCAUGAGUGAAUAAUCAGUUCCCUUGCCUGUUACUUCCUGGUGUCCACCUGCUUUGUCCUUAAAAUUCAAGUCUAGUCCCAUGUCUUUAGAAAGGGGUCCUCUCCUCCCCCCAGUUAACUAUUAUUUUUUCUUCAGCACCAUGGUUUUGUACUUCAUGAUGUCACUUGGUAUCAUGUAUUCCUCCCUGCUGCUUGGAUUUUGGCUCAUCUAAUUAUAGUCUUCUAGAGAAUACAGAAGAAUUUCUAGUGGAGAACAACUGUACAAAUGAUAGAAGAAUUCUCAUUAGAAAUAGUUGAGGCCAGAAAGAUGUCAAAAAAUCAUUAUGGGGGAAUGACUUCUUUAAGUGCUGAAAGAAAAAACAAAAUACCAAGGUGGUAGACUUACGCCCACUCAUAUAGUAAUUAUAGUAAAUUGCUAAACAGAAAAAGAAGGGUCCAAUUCCAAAGAAGAUGGAAUAAGCACGUUCUACUUUGUGUCUCCCACUGAAUGCAACUAUAAAUUCUCAACAGAAUAUAUAUAGCAGCUAUCUAAGGACUCUGGAAAUUAAAUAGCAAGAAUAACAACACAGUUUUAAACAACCAAUGGGUCCAAGAAGAAAUCACAAGGAAAAUCAGAAAAUAUUUUAAGAUAAAAACAAAAAGCAACAUACCAAAACUGAUGAGAUGCAGUCAAAGCAGUAUGUGACAGAAAAUUUAUAGUUGUAAAUGCCUACUUAAAAAUAAAAGAUCUCAAAUCAAUAACCUAACUUUACAUCUUAAGUAACAUCAAACAGAAGCAAACCAAACCCAAAGCUAGCAGAAGAAAGGGAAUAAUGAAUGCUAGAGUGGAGAAUUAGAAUAACCAUAAGAAUCAAUGAAAUCAAAAGUUGGUUCUUUGAAAAGUUAAAUAAAGUUGACAAACUUUACCUAGACGAAGAAAAAAUGACUCAAAUCAUCAAAUUUCAGAAUGAAUGUGAGAACAUUACUACAAAACUUACAGAAAGAAAAAGGAUUAUGAGAAUACUAUGAAUAAAUGUACACCAACAAAUUAGACAAAACUAGAUGAAACAGACACAUUUCUAGAAAUCCACACAUUGCCAAAACAGAACCAAGAAGAGAUAAAAAAUCUGAAUGGUCAUAUAACAAGUAAACAGAACGAAUCAGUAAUCAAAAAUCUCCCAAAAAACAAAAGUCCAGGACCAAAGGCCUUCCCUGGAGAAUUGCACCCAACAUUUAAGGAAGAAUUAACAUAAAUCCUUUAUAAAUUACUCACCAAAAUAAAAGAAGAUGUAAUACUUCAUAAUUCAUUCUAUGAGCCCAGUCUUCCCCGAUAAAAAAGCUAAACAAAGACACUUCAAGAAAAGAAAAAUGUAGUCUAAUAUGCCCUAUGAGUACAGAUGUAAAAAUCCUUAAAAGUACCAGCAAACUAAAUCUAAGAAGAUUAUAUACCAUGACCAAGUGGAAUUUAUCCCAGGAAUGCAGUCAUGGUUCAGCAAAAGAAAAUUGAUUGACGUCAUAUACCACAUUAAUAGAAUGAAGGUAAGAAACCACCUGAUCAUUUCAAUUGACACAAAAAUCAUUUGACACAAUUCAAUGCCCUUCCAUAAUAAAAACAUUCACCAAACUAAGAAUAAAAGGAAACUUACUCAACAUGAUAAAGAGCAUUUAUAUACUAAUCUACAUAAUAGUACUCAAUAGUCAAAGGCUGAAAACUUCCCACUAAGAUCAGGAACAAGAAAAGGAUGCCUGCUUUUGCCACUGUUAUUCAAUACUGUACUGGAAAUUCUAGGCAGUACAACUAGGCAAUUAAGAGAAAUAAAGGGAAUCAAAAUUGGAAAGGAAGAAAUAAAACUAUACUCUCUGAUAACAUGGUACUAUAUACAAAAAAUCCUAAAGAAUCUGCACACAAAAGAUGAUUACCGAUAAUAAAAGAUUUUACUAAAAUAGCAAAGUACAGCAUCAACACGCAAACACCAAUUGCAUUUUUAUACACUUGCAACGAACAUUCUGAAAAUGAAAUUAAGAAAGUAAUUCCAUUUAUCUGGCAUCAAAAAGAAAAAAAUAUACUUAGGUAUAAACUUAACCAAGGAAAUGAAAGAUUCAUACAGUAAAAACUACAAAACAUUGCUGAAAGACACAGAUAGAAAGACAUCCCCUGUUCAUGGAUUGGAAGAUGUUAAGAUGUUAAUGCAUCUAGAUUCAAUGCAAUCCCUGUCAAAAUCCCAAUGACUUUUUUUUUUGUUUUUUUGCAUAAAUUGAAAAAUCUAAAAUUGAUAUGGAAUCGCAAGGGACCCUGAAUAGCCAAAACAAUCAUGAAAAGGAAGAACAAAGUUAGAGGACUCAUGCUUCCAGAUUUCUAAAUUUACUACAAAGCUAUGGUAACCAAAUAGGGUGGUAUUGGCAUAAAGACAGACAUGUCAACCAAUGGAAUGGAACAGAAAUCCCAGAAAUAAACUUUCACAUAUAUGGUCAGAUAACUUUCAAUAAAAGUGUCAAAGACCAUUCGUGGGAAAUGACAGUCAACAAAUAGUGCUGGGGAAAUUGGAUAUCCACAUCCAAAAGAAUGAAGUUGGACCCUUUCCUAAUACCUAGUCCUCUAAUAUACAAAAAUUACUCAAAAUAACUAUAAACCUCUUAGAUUUAUAGCGGGAAAUCUUCAUAACAUUGGAUUUGGCAAUGAUUUCUUACAUACGACAUGGAAAUCACAGGCAGAAAGGAAGAAACAGACAAACUGGACUUCAUGAAAAUCUUAAAAUUUUGUGUAUUAAAGGACACUAUCAAUAAAGUAAAGGCAACCCAAAGAAUGGGAGAACAUAUUUGCAAAUCACAUAUCUGAUAAGGAUUAAUAUCCAGAAUAUAUAAAGAACUCCUAAAACUCAACAACAACAAAAAGCAAACAACCAAUUCAAAAUGGCAAGGAACUUGAAUAGACAUUUCUCCAAAGAAGAUCUACAAAGAGCCAACAGGCACGUGAAAAGAUGCUCAACAUCAGUAGUAAUUAGGAAAAUGCAAAUCAAAGCCACAAAGAGAUGCCACUUCAUACCCAUUAGGAUGGUUACUAUAUAAAAAAAAAAAACCAUAAAACAAAUGUUUGUGAUAAUGUGAAGAAAUUGGAACCUUUGUGUAUUGCUGAUGGGAAUAAAAAAUGAUGUAGCCCCUAUGGAUAACAGUGUGGAAGUUCCUCAGAAAAUUUAACAUGUAAUUACCAUUCAAUAGAGCAAUUUUACUUCUGGGUAUACGCAGAGAGUAAUCAAAAUUAGGGACUUGAACAGAUAUUUGUACACCCAUGUUUAUAGCAGCAUUAUUACAAUAGCUAAAAAGUGGAAACAACCCAAGUGCCCAUUAACAGAUGAAUGGACAAAAUGUAAUAAGUACAUACAAUGGAAUAUUAUUAAGCCUUAAAAAGGAAGGAAAUUGUGACAUGCUACAUAUGGAUAAGCCUCGAAGUCAUUAUGCUAUAUGAAAUAAGCCUAACAAAUUGGGCAAAUAUUGUAUGAUCCCACGUAUAUGAGGUAUUUAGAGUAGUCAAAUUCAUAAAGACAGAGGCAGAAUAGUGGUUGCCAGGGGUUAGGAGAAAGGGAAAUGAGGUGUCAUUGUUUAAUAGACACAGUGUUUCAGUUUGGGAUAUUGAAGAAGUUCUAGAGAUGGAUAGUGGUGAUGGUUGUACAAUGAUACGAAUGUACUUACUGUCACUGAACUGUACACUUAAAAUGGUUAAAGUACUUACUGUCACUGAACUGUACACUUAAAAUGGUUAAAGUAAUUUUCAUGUUAUGUAUAUUAAAAAAAAUUUUUUUUAAUGUUUUUUUCUUUUAGAGUGAGACAGAAUGGUAACAGGGGAGGGGCAGACAGAAAGAGGGAGACACAGAAUCCGAAGCAGGCUCUAGGCUCCAAGCUGUCAGCACAGAGCUCCACAUGGGGCUCAAACCCACAGACCAUGAGAUCAUGACCUGAGCCAAAGCCAGACUCUCAACUGACUGAGCCACCCAGGUGCCCCUAUGUUAUGUAUAUUUUAAAUGCAGUUUUAGAAAAUGUUUACUUAUUUAUUUUUGAGAGAGAGAGAUCGUGAGCCGGGGAGGGGCAAAGAGAGGGAGACAGAGAAUCUUAAACAGGCUCCAUACUGUUAGCACAGAGCAUGAUGCAGGGCUCGAACUCACAAACCAUGAGAUCCUGACCUGAGCCAAAAUCAAGAGUUGGAUGCUUAAUCGACUGAACCACUCAGGUGCCCUAACUGCAAUUUAAAGUAACUUCUACACCGAUUGUGGGUCUCAGACUCACAACCCAGAGAUCGAGAGUUUCAUGCUCUACCGACCAAGCAAUCCAGGUGCCCCUAUCUUGUAUAUAUUUUAUCACAAUUUUUAAAAAUGCAAUAGCUAAGACUUCAGCUCUGCCAAUGAUAGAGUUACUUGUAUCAGUCUGGCCAUCACCAAAAACAGACAUAAAACUUGACAUAAUAGGAGGCAACUAUUUUCAAGCAUUGUAAAAUAGGCAUUUCAGGUCAGGGAUACUUGAGAGAACAGAAAUGCACAUUUUUAGUCCCUCAAUCCCUUAGCCCUUUGCUUCACAAGGUACUCUUCUGUUUUGCACAAAGAGUUGGAGCUCAAGUGCGGUAAUGGUCCUGCUGGACUAAAGAAGUAACUGGAAUUUGUAGGACAAGUUUCUUAAGACAAGGAAAUUCCAGUUUGUGUGUGUGUGUGUGUGUGUGUGCGUGCGCACACGUGCGCGUACGUGUGUAUGCAUAUGUGCAUGUGUGCACACAUAAGUUGUAGAGGGAGAGAGGGGUGGCAGGGGUCUGGUUUUAAUUCAAAAUGGGUCCUUGGCCAAGAGCAGGGUUGAAUGGAUGCAGGCCAGGUUUCCAUGAUGCUUACUGUAGGUUGUUUGUUGUGAGACUGAGAACUAAAUUACGGUAUCAGCUGUUAGACACUGAUGGAAGAUGUAAGCACUUCUGGCCAGCUGUAGUAGAGAAACCUAGAUAGGACCUUGGUGUUUCAGUGAAACCAUAGAAAAGUCAGUCCUUAGAAAUAAGAUUACACCUUGGAGAAAGACCAUGUCCUAGAAUUAAGUUCAAUAUUAUAAUAGACACAUCUUAUUAAAGAUGAAAACAAAGCCUUACAUGUCAAAAGGACCCACCAGUAACUCAACUGUCUGCCUGAACAAUAUUCAAGAUCUACAAAUAUAAAACAGAAUCUCUACAAUAUAUCAUCCAUAAUGUCCAUCAUCUAAUCAUUAAUUACUAAAUACAUGAUAAUAUGACCCAAAUCCAAGGGAAAAAAAUGCCAAUAGAAAAGACCCAAGAUGAUUUAGAUCCUGAAAUUAGUCCCUAUGUAUUUUGUAGCAGCUAUUUUCAUAUAAAGACAUAGGUAUGGACAUAAUGAGUGAACAGAUGGAGAACUUAAGCAGAGAUAUAUAUGAUAAUUAUAAAAAAGGGAAUUCUAGAGCUGAAAAGUUGAAUAUGUGAAAUGAAAAAAUAUCACUGGAUGGGCUUGAUAAUUAUUGGUGAAUAUAGAAAAAGUUCAUGAACUUGAAGAGACAUCAAUAGAAAUUAUCCAAACUAAAGAUUAAAGGUAGAGAUAGAUUGAAGAAUUAGAAACAGAGCCUUAGUGAUGUGUGGGAAAAUAGCAAGUGAUCUAACAUGUGUAAUUGGAAACACAAAGGGAGAAAGAAGGGAGAAUGGCAAAAUAUGUAUUUGAUAAUAGGAAAGACAAACUGAAGAAAUAAUAGCCUAAAUUUUUCAAGGUUGGUGAAAAACAUCACAUCACAGGCCCCCAAAGCCCAACACCUAAGCUGAGAAAUAUGAAUAAAACUACACCUAGGUAUAUCAUAGAAAAUCUCUUGAAAUGAAAUAUAAAGAGAAAAUGUUAGGGGCGCCUGGGUGGCGCAGUCGGUUAAGCGUCCGACUUCAGCCAGGUCACGAUCUCGCGGUCCGUGAGUUCGAGCCCCGCGUCAGGCUCUGGGCUGAUGGCUCGGAGCCUGGAGCCUGUUUCCCAUUCUGUGUCUCCCUCUCUCUCUGCCCCUCCCCCGUUCAUGCUCUGUCUCUCUCUGUCCCAAAAAUAAAUAAAAACGUUGAAAAAAAAAUUUUUUUAAAAAAAAGAGAAAAUGUUAAAAGAAUACAGAGGAAGGGUGUCUGGCUGCCUCAGUCUCUUGAUCUCAGGGUUGUGAGUUCAAGCCCCACAUUGGGUGUAGAGUUUACUUAAAAAUAAAAUAUUUUUAAAAAAUGUUUAUUUAUUUUUGAGAGAGAGAGAGAAAGAGCACACAAGUAGGGGAGGGGCAGAGAGAUAGAGGGGACACAGUAUCUGAAGCAGCUCUGAGCUGCUUAGUGUGGGGCAUAAGCUCACGAACUGUGAGAUCAUGACCUGAGCCGAAGUCUGAUGCUUAACUGACUAAGCCACCCAGGUGCCCCUAAAAAUAAAAUCUUAAAAAAAAAAGAAUACAGAGGAAAUAAAAAUGCAUGGUCCAUAAUGGGGAACAUCCCUAGAAAUGGCAGUAGACUUCUUAUCAAAAUUAAAAUCUGAAUGACCUCAAAAAGACCAUUAUGAGAGAAUGACUUCUUUAAGUGCUGAAGGGGGAAAAAAAACCCAAGGCUGUAGACUUAAGCUCACCUAUAUCAGUUAUCAUAGUAAAUGCACUUAACACUCAAACUAAAAGAUGGAGGCUUUUAGACUGGAUAAAAAAGCAAGAUCCAAUUAUAUUUUGUCUAAGAGAGGUAUUUUAACUGCAAAGACACAGGUUGAUUGAAAGUAGAAAUGUGAAUAGUGAUAGAGCAUACUCUGUAAACACCAAGCAUGAGAAACCUGAUACAGCUUACUAAAGUAGGACUCAACACCGUGGGUAUUGCCAGAGAUAAAAAGAAACAAUUCGUGUGAGAAAGCAUCAAAUUAUCAGGAGGACAUAGUCAUAAAUAUGUAUAUACAUACCUAAUAGGAAAACUUCAAAAUAUACAGUGCAAAAACAGAGACUAAAAAGAGAAAAAAAGACACAAUCUUCCUUGGGAAUUUGACACCCUUCUCUCAGUAACCAAUAGAAAAAAGUAGCAAAGAAGUAGCUCUAGAAAGGAUAUAGAAAACUAUAUGUAGAUCUAUGUAGAAAACUAUACUGAACAACUUCAGAAUACACAUUCUUUUCAAAUAUAUGCAAAACACAAAGACAGACCGUAUUUUGGGCCACAAAGAAAUUUGAAACAAAUUCUAAAGAUUGAAAGGUUAGAGAAUGUUUUCUGACUAUAGUGAAAUUGAUUUAAAAACCUAUAAUCUUGGGCUGUUGUUCUCUAUGUAUUGGAGAUUUAAAUAUAUUCUCAUGCAGUAUUUAUGGCACCUCCCACAGGCAGUUAGUUCCUUGACUGGGAGUCAGUGAGGUAAUGAAAUUGCAUUCAAGCCGUGCUUAUUCUAUGAAGCCAGAGAUACCAUGUGGAACAAUUGUUUCUGAGUGGUCCAAUCACAUUUGUUAUAGUUCUUGGGAAAUAGAAAUGCUACCUGUAUGUAAGAAAUUGUAUCACUGAGGAUCAAGCUAUGUCUCAGAGAAUGAUCUCUUUUCUAAAUUUUUUGUUUAAUGUUUGUUUAUUUUUGAGAGACAUACAGAGAACAAGUGGGGAAGGGGCUGAGAAAGAGACACAGAAUCUGAAGCAGGCUCCAGGCUCCAAGCUGUCAGCACAGAGCCUGAGGCAGGACUCAAACCCAUGAACGGCAAGAUCAUGACCUGAGCCAAAGUCAGACAUUUAAUGGACUGAGCCACCCAGGUGUCCCUGUUUCUAAAAGGCCUGGGUUCUACAAUCACAGAUAGGCAGAUGAGAGAAUUUCUCAUAACUCUUCAUAUCCCUAUGCAUCUUUAUAAUGAUCUUCUAUCACAUAGGGAACAUGAUGUAUAUGUGUCCCUUGUAUCCUUAAAGAUGCCUUGGGAGAUCUCACUGACAGAGAAGUAAGGGAUAUGAGUGGGUUCUCAAUGAAACACUUAAAUACCUAGAACUUGCCUACAGCUAUAGUGAGAUACUGACCUCUGUUCAAAGAUGGUGGCAACAGAUGUCUAUCUACAGGAGUCCUCCAGAUAGGUACAUCACACACUUCCCUUUCUGUUACAGAGUUCUGCAGUCAUCUUCAGAAUAAACUCAGCCUGGUUCAUGAUUUCAAUGGAAGAAAAGUCCAGAGAUAAGAUAGUUUAAUAAGAAUUUAGGGUUUUAUUUUAUUUAUUUUUUGCUCUCCCAUCUUGGAAUGGCCAAUAUCACAGGGCUUUGCACCUUCCCACAAGCUCCUUUUUAAGAGGAAAGUGAGGCAAACAUGUUUAUGUUUACUUUUCCAUUUUCUAAUUUAAUUUUAAUUUUUAUUUAUUUUUAAUUUUUAAAAAAAUGUUUAUUUUUGAGAGAAAGACAGAGAGACAGAGAGACAGAGAGAGAGGGAGACAUAGAAUCUGAAGCAGGCUCCAAGCUCUGAGCUGUCGGUAUAGAGGCAGACAUGGGGCUCAAACUCAUGAACCUGAGCUGAAGUCAGACGCUUAACCAACUGAGUCACACAGGAGCCCCUAUUUAUUUUUUUUAGAGAGAGAGAGUGGGGGAGAGGGGCAGAAGGAGAGAGAGAGAGAGAGAGAGAGAGAGAGACCCAAAUGGACUCCAUGCUCAGUGCACCUGAUGUGGGGCUUGAUUCCAGGACCCUGGGGUCAUGACUCGACCUGAAAUUGAGUCAGAUGCUCAACCAACUGAGCCACCUAGGUGCCUCAGGUUUAUUUUAAGUUUCUUAUUUCCUACAAAGUAUUCAGCUGUUGAGGAUAUUUUAGUCACAGCAGAAGUGUCUCAUUCCUUGGUAGAGGCAUAAAGUCCUUUAGAGUAAAAACCAAUGAAAGACAGUAUCUUGAAAACAGACUGUCAUUAUACUCUAAAUCUCUGGGAAAAUAGAUUUUAAAGGUGCUUAGCACUUCACUUCCUCCUGAAAGCUAAGUGGGGGCAAGGAAUGGGGGAGUGUGAAUCUCCUUCUCCUUUUACUUUUUCCUGCAGGAAGAAGUGAGAGACCAUUCUGUCUAAGAGAGGGGGAAAGGGAAAGGAGAGACAGGAGAGGCAGUGAGAAGGAGAGAGUCUGGGGGAGGUAGAGUUUAGCACAAGGCACCCUCAUGUACACAUCCCUAUAUGGGACAGAUACUGGCACCCUGCUGUGCCACUCAAAGUGACUCCUAUCAGUCGGAUUCCCACCUGUAAUCAUUCUGUGAAGGGUGCUUUAUCUCUGAUUCACAGAGGAAGAAUAGAAGUCCAAGGAUGUGGAGUGACUUUGCUGAAGUUACAUAGUAAGUUGGUGCUGGAACCUGGACAAGACUCAAACCUUCUUAUCCCUAGUUCAAUUUUCUGGAUGGAAAAGGAAGUUGUAACCCCUUCUUCCUUUCAGCUCCUGUUCUGUUCCCAAAAGUGGAAGGGGACAAACCCUUCCCAAUCUACUCCCCUGGCACCACCUGAGAUAGGAGAUGGAGGGAAAGGCUGGCCCUGGCACCUCUCAUUAGUUCCCACUUGCAUCGCCUGUUGUUCACCUGCAAGCAUAGAAAGGGCUGUGGCUGAACUCUCUCUCAGUGAGAUAGUUUAUUGUAACCCCCAGUGUCUUCCCAGAAAACCCCAAAUCUUCUCAUCUCUCACUUCAUCUCUCACAAUCCCUUCUAUUCACUUGAGACCCUGUAUAUGAUGUUUUCUUAUUAUGAACUCUAAUAAUCCCAGUAACAAACUCUGCAGCAAUGGCAACAGAAACAGCAGGCCUGCCCACAGAUCCCAGUGUACUACAGGCCCUCUGGAAAUGGGACUGCAUAUAAUCUGGGCCCUUGAGCUCAGCAGACUUUGAGUCCCUCAGUGCAUGUCUAACUUUACCAGUGUUGAACCCCCUUUAGGAUGCUUCCUUCAGGAUGCUUCUUUUUCCCCUGCCAGAAAUGAGAGGUUUUGUGUUUCCAUAUGACUAGCAUUUCUCUGUUUCUCUCUGUGGGCAUUCCUUUGACCAUUGAUACUCUCAUACUCCUGCUCUUAGCUCAGGGGCUCCAUGUCAGUAAAAAUGAAAGCCCAGCCCCUUAUGGUGAGCUUUCUUUGGGUGAAGAGCAACCAGACACAGUGAAGCUUGAGAACAGACCUCCCCUAGUUGGGAGGGACAGAUUUGUAAUAGACCAGCUUCACAUCUGAGAAUCACCCCAGUCCCUUCUCCUAAAGGUCUCUUUCCUGAUGAAGAUCACCUGAGGAUGAUACCCACCUUGGAUGGUUGUUGAGAAGAUGAAAUGGAAGGCAAAUACCAAGUAUCUGGAGUUCUUUAUGACACAUAGCAGAUGAUCAGUAAGUGUGAGCUCAUUGCCACCUGUCUUUUUGCUUUUGAGUCCCAGAUCCUAUAGAGCCAGGCAGGCGGGAAGAUUGCCAAGGGAGCCCAGAGCUUGUCCCUUACCCCUUUCCUGGGCUCCUCUCCCAAAAAGCCCUGUCUCGACUAUACCCACAGCACUGACUGGGAAGAGGGGAAUGACAGAGUACAUCCCAGGUCUGAGUUGGGGAUCUCAGGGAUGGGAUAAGGGUGGGGACAGGUAUUUCCUAGGGAAGGUGCUGAGGGCUUUAUAUUUAUAUGUCUAUAUUUAUUAAACAUGUUUUCUUGAAUAAUGUAGUAAUUUCCUAGAAAUGUUUACAUGUUGGAAGUUGUUUUACAUGAAUAUUGUGGGUAUGACCCUACUUUGGCUUCCUUGCUAUCCUAAGGAGGUGGUUGAAGGUUCUCUGGCCCACUGCUCUGAAAGCCAGCCCAAACACAUGCUACCUUCUCAUUAUUUCUUUUCUUGGACCUGUAUUGUUGCAAGAGAAUUGUUCAAUGUUUUACCAAUAGCAUUAAUGUGUGAGAGACAUUGCUGUGUCUUUCAACACUUCUCUGAUCAUUAUAUUGUUUAUUUUUGUCCUAAUGAUGAUUGGACAUCAUGAUGAUUGGAAUAGUUCCUUUAGGUUAAAAGGUGAGAAAAAAUGUUGAAGAGAGAAAACAAGCUUAAGAAUUCUAAUCUGAAUAUUGUCAAGGAUUAUUUAGUGUUCUCAUUACAGAAAAUUGACAUUUAUUCAAGUUCUUUUUUUUAAUUUUUUUAAUGUUAAUUAUUUUUGAGAGAAAGACAGAGCACGAGUUGGGGAGGAGAAUACAGAGAGGGAGACAUAGAAUCUGAAGCAGGUCCCAGGCUCCGAGCUGUCAGCACAGAGCCCAACACGGGGCCUGAACCCACAAGCCGCAAGAUCAUGACCUGAGCCAAAGCCAGACGCUCAACCUACUAAGCCAUCCAGGCACCCAUUUUUUUUUAAUUUUGUUGAUAUUUUUUUAUUUUUGAGAGAGAGGGAGAGAGAACAAUUGUGAGCAGGGGAGGGGCAGAGAGGGAGGGGGACACAGAAUCCAAAGCAGGCUCCAGUCUCUGAGCUGUCAGCACAGAGCACAACAGGGGUUUGAACUCACAAGCCAUGAGAUCAUGACCUGAGCCGAAGUCUGACGCUCAACCGAUUGAGCCACCCAGGCACCCCUCAAAUUCUUCUUAAUGUCAGGACUAAAACUUUAUGUUUGUGUUCUCAUAGAUCAUACUAACUUUUUAAUGACUCUAUUUCUUUUUUUCCCCUAGUGAAUAAGAUCUAAUUUGAAAAAUCUAUUUAUCAUUGUCAUAAAUAAUUGAUGCCAUAAAAUAUUUACCCAAGAUAUGCUGUUAAAAAGAAAACCACAGGCCCAAAGUGGAGUCAUUUAUGCCAGACCACUGGGGCUUAAAUCCUAACCUAAUUGCAGUUUCAACUUCCCCCAGAAAUGUAGUCUUAGCCAGUCAGUCAGGACUUUUCUGGUCAGCAACAGUAAGGUAAUCUGUCACAUAGGCCCUCUCUAUUCCCCGAAAGAAGAUGAGGUAAUCCACCUAAUAAGACUCUUUUGUUCCCAAAGGAAGGUACCUCACCCAAAAUAAUUUUUUUUUCUGUUUAUGACUUUGUUGUUCUGCCUUUAAUAACCUUUCAUUUUCUGUAGCCCUUUGGAAUUCCCCUCUAUUUGCUAGAUGGGGUGCUGUCUGAUUCAUGAAUCAAUUAAUGAAUCAAUUUUACAUCUUUAAAAUGUAGUUGGUUGAAUUUUUGUUAUUUAACACCCAAAAUAUUCUAAGUAGGUGUAACUUAGUAAAAACAAAGUUCCUAUAAUAUAAUGACCAUAUGUCCCUAAUUCGGUAAUAAGAGAAUGCUCACAUGAUUUAAGUAGAGUCAUCUCUGGGAUGUGAAUAGUUUGCAUGAUAACCAUUUUCUUAUUUUGGGUUGUGUAUAUUUGUAUGUAUUAUGUACUUUUGAAAAAUUUAUUUGCUUUUUUUCCUUUCUUUCCUGAGUAAGCCCUGCAGAUUACAGAUACCAUUCUUUUGUAUGUUAAAGAUAGGGCUAUUAAACAACAGAUUUUAGUUGGUAAACUGGUAAUAUCCAACUGCGACAGGGAAUAGAUUCCAGCGUGAACUGAACUCAACUUCAGUUUGUACAGAGGUGACUGGGAGUUUUAAAGGAAGAAGGAGGGAACAGAAAGGGGGCGAGUUGGAGCUCAGUAGAAUGAGGGAAGUGAAAAAUUACAAAAAGCAGAAGGAAGAAUUGGUCCAUUUGAAAUCCACCUGGAUUUGCUAACUGGCACUUGUUGAAAUUAGGCUCUUACCCUCCUACAGAGACUGAGAGACAGGGGUCCUUCAGGUGUUGGCUGGAACAAAUUCUUUUGGCAGCCUUGAGUUUUUCAGGCAGGCCCUCUAAAAACACUCUUAGUGUCAUCCUAAGUAUGUGACCUUGAGCUGUUAGAGACUUAGAAUUUUGUUCAAGUAUUUAUAGGGCAAAGUUGAUAGACCUAGUUGAAAAGAAGGUAUAAAGGAGCCUAACUGGAAUUUGGGGUAAAGGAGAAAAUCUUUUAAAUUUAGUACUACUGUGUUUCAUUUUAAAUUAUUUUACUUAAGUUUCACAGCCUUAUUCCCAAGAGAUACCUCUACAAAUCUAAAUUCUCUUGGCAGCUUUAAAUAUUAUUUUAUUUUUAUUAAAAUUAAAAAAAUAUUUUUGAGAGAGACAGCUCGUUUUCCUAUGUGAUCUCAAUUAUUUUUACACCUAAGAGCAACCCAGUGCCUAUUCAGAUUUCCUCGACAGUCUCCAAAGCCUUUGGCAGCUGUUGUUUAUUUAAUCGGGAUUUGAUCGAGGACCACGUAUUGUAUUUGGAGGUAAACUUCAAGUUUAAGCCCUAACGUUUGGCGAUUAUGAGAAAACCUGGGAAGGAGAGACCGUCAAGAUCACAUCUUUCAACUGUUCAGAUAGAGGAUACGCGCCAGGUCACUUCAAGGCGCGGGAGCGGAGCUUUACGGGAAAUGUAGUCUGGUGGUAUGGACCUGGCUCGUCGCGCAGCAUCCUGGGAACCGGUCCGGGCUCCAUCUGCACAUGUACUUACCUUAUCCUACCUCUUUGCGUCAGUGCUUUCCGCGGUCCGGUGGUCAGGUGGCGCGCUUGCCUGGGUUCCAACCUCAAGUGAGAGCAUGGGGCUGAUGCGAAAUCUGGGAGGCUUUGGGACCAGCAUGGAGGAAGGGGCUUGUGGCCGGGGAGAAAGGAAUAGAAGCCUCGGGAAUUCCCCAGGCCGGACUCUAAAUGCUUGAGCCAUCAAAGACCUCUGGGGGACCCCUGGGGCACAGGUGGGGCUGAAUCACGCCAGAAGCAGGUGAGGGGUUGGGUACGCAGAGACACUCGAUUCGAGAAAAGCCCAUGGCGGCGGGAAGGGAAAACUUGUUUAUAAUUCCCACUGUGAGCCCGAAAGCGCGGAAGAGCUUUCUGCGGUGAGAACCCGAUUUCUGGAGCUAGAAAGACCCGGGGUAAAUUCCAGUUCUGUUACCCUUGUAGGCAGGGGCGGCCGAAGGAACCAGAGUAAGAGUCCGGUUUCUCUUCUGAAAAUAAUGUUUGUUAUGCGAGUUAGAGAAGUUAUUACCUGUAAAGCAAAUAGCCAACUCAGAAGUGGCAACUGCUAUUAUAUUCGGAAGACACACUUCUAUUCACUGGGUGGCUUAUGUAAACAUCACAACCAUUUUAUGAGGUUGGCUAACUAUCCACAUUUAAAAAAGAAAAGGAAGCAAACGAGGAUGAGGUUGGCAGAGCCAUGUGCUCAGGUUACAAGCUAGCUGUGAGGAAGCUCUGAUUUAAGGGCAGGUGUGCUUUAAAUCUCAGGCCUCGUCUAAAUAUCACACCUGCCUAAAACCACCAAUACAGCCUUCACAGCACCUAGCAGAGUGACCUGUCCCUGAACACCCAGGGAUAAAAUUGAAGGAGAAUGUGAAUGGACUUAGAACAUUGUCAUAUGUAGUCUGGAAUUUCUGGUACCUCAUCAGAAUCCUUGGUUCAGAUAGAGGCUCCUAGCUUUUCCUGCAGUGGCAGAUUGUCUGAAAUCACAGUGAAUUCCAAGAGUCAAGUUUGUAGCCCUAAAGUGAAUUUGUUUCCCUGACCCAGGUCCCAGAUCUUGGGAAACAAAUUUAUUUUAAAACAAAGCAGCUCUUGUGAUGUUCGAAUUGAGGUCUCCAGGAACAGCAUCCCUGUUCUUAUCCUCCUCGCUAGACCUUCAGAGCAGAAGCAAAAAACAGAGCUGUCAGAAGUAGUUCUUGAUCCUCCCUGCUCAGAUUUGGAGAUGUUGCCACAUCCAGAAGCCACCACACUGUGUGAUGGUGGGGGAUCUGGGCCACCUUUGAGAAGAGGGAGCUGGGGUGGCCCAGAAGUAUGUUGCCCAGGAACUUGCACUUGUGAGGGUGGGAUCUGGGGGUAAGGGGUAACCAGCCAGAGGGUGGAAAUUGUGUUCUGUUGUCAAAACUUAAAAAUAGCCAGUUAUUUUACCAGCAAAUUGAGUUUAUUUGGGAAUAGCAGAGGAAUUGCAAUGGGGGACAAGCAAACUAUGGCAAACCAUAGGCAAGUCCAAAGAGACAAAGGGAAGGUAAACUUUCACUAGGUUUUGGGAGGAAAAUGGGGAGGGUUUGGAAUAAAAGUCCAUUGGAAAAGAACAAGAGUUUGCGGUUGUGGCACUUAUUGGCUGCAAGCAGUGGUUAGUACCUAUUUGCUGGGUUGGGGAGGGAUCUUCCGUCUUUUUCUUAAAAGUAGGAAAUCGAAUUCCUGUGUGCAAAGUAAGAUGAUUCUUAACCUUGUUCCUGCAGGACAAGGAGCAUGUGUGAGAGCUCCCCAUUCAGGGCUUCCUGACUCCCAUUUUAAAUGAGGUUUCCUGCGUUUGUUUUGAUACCACUCUUGCUAAAUGGCCGUCAUUCCCUUCAUUCUUCACUGUUUACGGAUGCUGCACUGCUCUCAUACAUGUCCUUCACAAGUGACCAUCACCACAAGUAACAAUAUUGACUUAUCUUGAACUCAUAGAAUCCUAAAAUAAGGACUAAUGAAGGCUUUCCUUGGUUAUCUGCUACAGACUCUUAGAAGCUGUAAAGAAAUUGGAUGUUAGUGGUGACUUGUCAGGUGACACCUAUUUUGUGGCAGAGCCAGGAGGAAAACACAGUGCAGUUCACUUUCUCACUGGUAAGUCAUCAAAAGCAUCUUAUGAAAAGGACCCUUUGAGAAACUGUAACCCAGUGAAAGUUAAUGAAAAAUUCUUGCCUUAAAGCAUUCCAUAGUCCUUUUAUUGGGCUUUCUGUGGAUUUUCUCUUUUAAGAGCUAAGCAAUGUUACUAGGAAAAUAGUUAAGUGAUACAGCCUGAAUAUUUUGUUAAUUUUAAUGAAGGAGCAAUGCCUUAUCCUUCAUGUACUUUAUGCAUUAAAUGAAUACUAGUUCUUGCUCGUGUUGUUUCUGUUAAUCAUUCAGAAAAAAAAAAAAACCACUAAGUUAUCAUUUAACCGCAGAAAAAUUUGUUUAGCCAGUGAAAAGCUGUAGGUCUUAGGCCACAUGACGUUUUCUGAGUCUUACAUGGACAUGUGUCUCUGCGCGUUCCUCCCCAGGCCUCCCAGCUGAGUCUGCACAGCCCUCUGCACUUUCCCAAGAGCAGCAGCAUGAACACAUCUCAGGUGAGCUCUUUCUCCUUUCUUUCUCCACAUUGCACUGUAUUGGUUUUAUUUUAUUUAUUUAUUAAAAAUUUUUUAUGUUUAUUUAUUUUUGAGAUAGAAACAGAGCAUGAAUGGGGGAGGGGCAGAGAGAGAGAGACACACACAGAAUCUGAAACAGGCUCCAGGUUCUGAGCUGUCAGCACAGAGCCCGACGUGGGGCUCGAACCCACCAACCGUGAGAUCAUGACCCGAGAUGAAGUCGGACGCUUAACCUACUGAGUCACCCAGGUGCCCCAGCACUGUAUUGAUUUUAAUGGGGCUUAUAAGGGUCUGUACAUUACAUGGAAAAAGAGAACUAGGGAUAAAGCUAGUUUUGGGAGAAAAUACACAGUUUCAAUAUUAGCUCUUGAUGUUUGUUGUUGGUUCUGGGUAGGUAACCUUUGUUGAUGAUUAUAUUCCCUCCAGUUACCAGUUGGGUUAGAUUUCAGUUGAGUCAUGAAUGUGCUUUGAAUUAUAUUGAGAACUUUUUCUAUAUCUAUUGAAAUAAAGACAUAGCUUGUUUCCUUUAAUCUGUAAGUAUUGUGAAUAGCAUUAUGAAUUUUUAAAUAUUGUCGAUUUCCUGUACACACCCUUGCUGGUGAAUUGCUUGUAUACAUGUUGGCUGUGAUCUUUCUGCUGGUACAUAUUUCUGUAUCGUAAUUUAGGUGAGCCUAAUUUUUCAUGUGUUCCUAUCCAAUUUUGGUGUUGUGGUUAUAUUAGCCUAUAAGUAUAGGACACAUUUUUACUUAUUUUUUUUCUUGGGCUAAUGUUUUUCCCCCUGUAUUUUAUAUGAGAAAAAUUGCCUGUUAUUGGUGGGGGGAUUUUUAUGUGAAGAUUUUGAAUAUCAAAUCAGUUUAUUAAAUGAUCAUAAGUCUCCUGUGUCUCUUACCAUGUGUCUUUCAAAGAGCAGACGUGUUUUAAUCAACUUUUCAAAAUCUUUAAUCUUUUUUGCUUUUAUUAUUUAUGCUUUUUUUUGGUCUUGGUCAUAUGUAAAAAAUCUUUUCCUAAGCCAAAGUCACAAAGAUUUCCUCUCCGGUUUCUAGAAGUUUUAUAGGUCUGUGAUCAUUUUGAAUUCAUUUUUUCUUAUGGCACAAGGGAUAGGCCAAGAUUAUUUAUUUAGUUUUGUUUACAUAUGUCUGACAUUUGUUGCAAAUUUCGUUUGCGUUGUUGUUGUUGUUGUUGUUGUUGCAAAUGUUGUUUACAUAUGUCUAACAUUUGUUGCAAAGAAUACUCCUUCUCCACUGAAUUCCUUUGGCACCUCUUUUGGGAAUUAUUUGACUUUAUAUUCUUUGUGGUUCUGUUUCUGGAAUCCGUAUUCUCUUCUUAUCUGUGUUAGUCCUUUUGCUAACAUCAUACUGCCUAGAUUACUGUUGUUUCAAGAGAAGUUUUUUUUUUUUUUUAAUUUUUCAAUGUUUAUUUUUGAGAGAGAGACACACGCAGUGUGAGCAGGGGAGGGGCAAAAAGAGAGAGAGAAACAGAAUCUGAAGCAGGCUCAGGCUCUGAGCUGUCAGCACAGAGCCUGAUACAGGGCUCAAACUCAUGAACCAUGAGAUCAUGAAUCAUGAGACCUGAGCUGAAGUUGGAUGCUUAACCAACUGAACCACCCAGGCACCCCUAAGAUAAGUCUUGAAAUCAGUAAUGUGAAUCCCCCAAACUUUUUUCAUAAUUGAUUGGAUAUUGGAUAUUCUAAGUCCCCCUUUACCUCUUCAUAUAAGUUUUAGAAUCUGGCUUCUUUCUGUCUUCAAAAUUUGCUCUGAUUAUGUGUGUGAUUGCAGUGAUUAUAUACAUCAGUUUUAGACCUCCCUUUUGUGUUUCAAAAUCAUGUAACCAACAAUGCAGUGUAAAAUUCCAUCUGUGUAUUCAUAUAUAUCUAUAUGUAUGUGUAUAUAUAUAUAUAUAUAUAUAUAUGUAUGUGUAUAUAUAUGUAUUAAAUUUACAUCCAAGCUAGCAUAUAGUGCAACAAUGAUUUCAGGAGUAGAUUCCUUAAUGCCCCUUACGCAUUUAGCCCAUCCCCUCCCACAACCCCUCCAGUAACCCUCUGUUCCAUCUGUGUAAAAUUCCAUCUGUGUAUUCAUAUAUAUCUAUAUGUAUGUGUAUAUAUAUAUAUGUAUGUGUAUAUAUAUGUAUUAAAUUUACAUCCAAGCUAGCAUAUAGUGCAACAAUGAUUUCAGGAGUAGAUUCCUUAAUGCCCCUUACGCAUUUAGCCCAUCCCCUCCCACAACCCCUCCAGUAACCCUCUGUUCUCUGUAUUUAAGAUUGUCUUAUGUUUUAAUGUUUACUUAUUUUUGAGAGAGACAGAGACAGAAUGCAAGUGUGGGUUAGGGGCAGAGAGAGAGGGAGACACAGAAUCCGAAGCAGGCUCCAGGCUCUCAGCUGUCAGCACAGAGCCCGACCCAGGGCUCGAACCCACGAGUCGUGAGACCAUGACCUGAGCCGAAGUCGGACACUCAAUAGACUGAGCCACCCAGGUGCCCCUACAGUCUUUUAUGUUUUGUAACCCUCCCUGUUUUUAUAUUAUUUUCGCUUCCCUUCCCUUAUGUUCAUCUGUUUUGUAUCUUAAAGUCCUCAUAUGAGUGAGGUCAUAUGAUAUUUGUCUUUCUCUGACUAAUUUUGCUUAGCAUAAUUCUAGUGUAAGAUAAUGAUAGGGCCAUAAUAGGCAUACUUUAUAAAAUUUUGUUUUAAAUUCUCAACAGUAAACAUAAUACGUAUUAGUUUUCCAAGGCAUUUUCCAUAUUACCGGUUUUUGAGCCCCUCAGAUUGAAUAGAAAGUGUGUUAUUACAGGUAUCAGUGUCAUUCAAGGACGUGACUGUGGAGGUCACCCAGGAGGAGUGGCACCAGAUGGACCCUGCUCAAAGAACCCUAUACAGAGAUGUGAUGCUGGAGAACUACAGCCACCUGGUCUCACUGGGUGAGCAGAACUUACCAUGUGAUUUCCUCAAGAAUGCAAUUCCGUUUUCUCCUUCCUUUUAAUUUUUAAAUUGUAUUGGGGUAUAAUUAACAGAGUUAAAGUCAGUAGCUUUAAGUGUAUAAUUGUGAGUUUUAGAGAUGCCUGUAGGUGAUUACUACCACCAAAUAAUGAUAAAAUAUUGCUGUUACUCCAAAAAGUUUCAUUUUAGGUAUUUGUAGUCAUUUUUUCCUGAUCCCUCUCCCUGGCUCUGUCAACCAGUGAUCUACUUUCUAUCGCAAUAGUUUUUCCCUGUUAGAAUUUUAAAUACAUCAUAUAGUAUUUACUUUUUUCUUCUUUCAUGUAGAUUUUGGGAUUUAUGCAUGUUUUUGUACGUAUCAUUUUUUAUUCCUAACUAGUAUGCCUUUGCAUGCAUCUACCACAGUUUAUCUUCCAUGUAUAUCCCAGUUGAUAGAAUAGAGGUUUUUUCCUUUUGGGCUGUUAGGAAUAAAGUUGCUCUGUCCAUUUAGGUAUGAGUCUUUGUGUAGACAUUUGUUUUCAUUUCUCCUGUGUAAAUACCCAGAAGUAUGGUACUAUUGGUCUUAGAGUAACUUCAUAAGAAACUGCCAGAUAUUUCCAGUGUGACUGUGCCAGUUUGCAUACCCUUUAAGGGUGUAUGUAUCAUAGUUCUAGUUGCUCCACACCCUCACCAACAUUUGGUAUUGUAAGUUUUUUUUUUUUUUUUAUUUAAGAUUCUAGUGGGUGUCUUUGUAUCUUACUGGGUUUUAAUUUGUAUUUUUCUGAUAAUUAAUGAAGUUGAACAUCUUUUAAUGGGCUUUGUGGCUAUUCAUAUAUUUUCCUUUUUCAGGUCUGUUUAAAUCUUUAGCCCAUUCUUUAAAAAUUAGGGUGUUUCUUUUUUUCUUUUUGGUCCUAACUGAGGUGGAAGAAUUCUUCAUGUAAUCUAGAUAUAAGACCAUUAUCAGAUAAAUACUUUGUUAACGUUUUCUACCUAUCGUAUGCUUUUUCUAAUUUUUUUUUUCAACGUUUAUUUAUUUUUGGGACAGAGAGAGACAGAGCAUGAACGGGGGAAGGGCAGAGAGAGAGGGAGACACAGAAUCGGAAACAGGCUCCAGGCUCUGAGCCAUCAGCCCAGAGCCUGACGCGGGGCUCGAACUCACGGACCCCGAGAUCGUGACCUGGCUGAAGUCGGACGCUUAACCGACUGCGCCACCCAGGCGCCCCACCUUCUCCCAGGGGCAGGACUCACUGUGGAGUGGUGUGACCUCUGGGCUACUUGCACACUGCCAGUCUUGCGGUACUGCUUCGUUGGGAUCUGGCAUAUUAGCCAGGGUGGAUCCGCAAGGUGCACAGGGGCGGGAGGGUCAGGCUCAGCUCCUUUUGCCUUUGGUGGUCCGCUUCGGGAGGGGCCCUGUGGCACUGGGAGGGAGGCAGACCUGUCGGAGGGAUGGAUCUGUAGAAGCACAGCAUUGGGUGUUUGCCAAGGUCUUAUGUUUUUUAUAUCCUUGCUGAUUUCCUAUUUAGUAGUGCUAUCAACUGCUAAGAGAGGGAUGUUGAAUUUGUCAACUAUACUAGAUUUGUCUAUUUCUCCUUUCAGUUCUCUCAGUUUUUGCUUCAUGUAUGUGGAUGUUCUGCUGUUUCUUGCACACAGGGUUGUUGUAUUCUUAGUGGAUAGAGUCUACUGUAAUGCCCAUUUUACCCUGGAAAUAUUCUUUGCUGUGAAGUGUUAUCUUUAUUUAGUGUUUUGCUUUUUCAGUUGAGCAUGUUUCAAGGUUUAUCUCUAUUAUAGUAUAUAUCAAUACUUCAUUCCUUUUUAUGGCUGAAUUAUAUUGUAGUUUACAAAUAUGCCAUAUUUUAUUUAUCCAGUCAUCUGUUGAUGGAAAUUUAGAUUAUUUCCAUAUUCUGGCUAUUGUGAAUAGUCCUGUUAUGACAUUUGUACACAAGUUUUGUUUGAACAUUAAGUUUGCAGCAUAUAUUGAGAAGUGGAAUUGGCACAGGUCAGGCAAGGCAAAUUAGUUUCUUAGCUUAUUUUAAUUAUGUAUAAGAGUAAAUCAUCUGGUAGUUAAGCUAAUUAUACUGUUCUGGGAUUUGGCAGUGUUUUUUUUUUGUUAAGUAGGCUCCAUGCCCAAUGCAGGGCUUGCACUCAUGACCGAGAUGAAGAGUCCCAUGUUCUAUGAAGUGAGCCAGUCAGGGGCCCCUGGAAGUCAGUUUUUUAGAAUACUGAAAGAUCAUUAAAAUAGCCAGUUGGCCAGGCAAGCUAAUGGUACUUGGAGAUUGUGCUGUCUCUAAGAAGAAAAUAAAUUUGUUUCUCCCUCAUUAUAGUGUGAAGCUGCCCUCAUAAAAAGGCAUGAUGUAUUAUUUCUUCUGGAGUUCCAAGGAACCUUUAAUGUGAGGAAGAAAAAGUAUUACACACCUGGCAAGGAAAGACAAAUAUGGAGGCAGCUCAGAACAAGUGUUAUGCCCCUUCUUUUGGCAUCAGACACCUCUCUCAGUAGAUCCUUGAAGCUGAGAAAAUACUUCUUUUUGGAGCUGCCAAGAGAAUUAUUUGGAAAUUAAAAACGAGUGGAACUACUGGCACAAUGGAGUAAAGGGAUGACCCCAAGAACCAGUUCCUUUUUCUUCUGGUUGGAUCUUGAAAAUCUGAUUUACUAUCACUAUUGUUUUGCAAAAUUGCUUGAAUUAGUAGAAGCAAAGCUAAAAACAAACAAAAGAGGUAAAAAAAAAAUGCCUGCACUCUACAAUGCUAAUAAAAACUGAUAUGUAGGCAUAAUUUUGAAUUGGGAAUUCUAGUUUACUGAAAAUAAAUCUUAUUUUGGGUGACAAAUAUUUGAAGAACUGUACACUUCUGAACAUUAAUAACACGUUUCUUUUAUCAACUUUAGAAAAUAUCCAGAACAGAAGAGUCUUUGAGUGGAGCUUAUAGCAAUAGUUUUCCUUAACUAUUUAUAAUAAAUUAUGAAUAAUCACAGAAGAUCAUUUGCAGCAUCAAAAGAAAAUAUAUUCAGAUUUCACUUUGAUAAUUUCACCUUCAGGAAGUAUUUCUGAGUGAGCAAUAUGUAGAGGGUCUGUUUCAGUUGCUUGAGAUACACAUUAUGAACAAAACAAAAAUUCCUGCCCUCAAUGGAGGCUUUUUAAAAUUAGCAUAAAGGUCCUUAAUAGGCAGGCAGACAGAAAAUUGACUCUUCCAGGGUCUCUAGAUGUGGCAUCCAUGUUGGAAUAAAAGCCCAUGACCUGGAAAGGUCAUUAGCCAAGUAGGGAGAAAGAAGCAUUCAUGGCUAUAGCACAGACCAUGGUCUCCAGUUAAUAAUGUAUUAUACAGGGAGUUGUCCUGUGGGCCUACCCCAGCAAGGGGACAGCAGGUAAAGCCUAAGUGUCCAAUCAUGGGACUUUGUCACCUGUACUCCCAAUGAGUGACUCAGACUACCUGGGUGGACUUAUUUCAUCCUAAUGGGUAGAUGAUCUUGAACUUAAUAGCAAAUCCAAUCACAAUUCUAAAAGAUUAUAUAUAAAAAAGGGUAUAAAGGAGAUGAUUCUAAAUAUCUUAAGAAACUGAAACUUAAGAAACUAAGAAAGAAGGACUCUUUAUAUUACCAACUAUUAUAAAAGCAGAGUGAACAAUAAUCUCUUGAUUAUUUUUAGGGAAUAUAGCACUAACUAGAUAUUAUCUUCUCUUUUUGCAGAUGCAUCUUUGCAAGGCCAUUGGCAGCUCUAGAGUAAUAAUUUAACCGGCGUCUGAUGUUCCAUUUCUGUAGUCCUAGGACAUAUUUUCCUUUUCUUGAUUCAAAUACUCUUCAGUGAAAAAAUUCAGUAUCAGGCUAGAAAAGGAAUAUUUUGGCUCAUAUGAGGUAUACGCUAGCCCUGAUCCCAAAAGGUGGAUAUGUUGCUAGUAUAACAGAAUGCAGGGAAUGGGUCAUGAGCAGCUCUGUGCAAUAUCUUUACAAAUGGCAAUUUAGAAUAUGAACAGAUUUAAAAUCAUUAGGAAAGGGGUGAAUUACCAUAUCGUAUGUGGAGCACUGGAUAUUAAUACAAAAGAAAAAAUUGUAUUAGGUCAAAUAACAUAAAAGGAAGCACUGGACAUAAUAGAGACCUUUACUUUGUAUGCAGUUAAAAUGGUGAAUAUUUUGCUCUAUCAGUAUGAUGAUGGAUCCAGGUAGCAAUGCUGGCAAUCAGGGUAGUGAAGUCUUAGCAGCUUGGUUCCACUCGGUAUUACCAUAGAAUAGUCACUUACCAAGAGCACCUAGUCUAACAACCCAGAUAUCAGCAGCUAUGACUUUUCCCUACAGUUCACAGCACCAAAAAGGGGUGCUUUUGUCAGUCUGCAGUUUUACUGCUGGUGUGUCAAGCAGCUAGGCACAGUAAGAACCCAAAAUCAAAAUGCCAGAAGUUGUAUCAAAGGGAAUAUCUGCUAGAGUUAAGAACAUCCUUGUGUCCUGCCCCUUGAGAGGAUCAGCCACAUCAAUUUUUAGGUCUGCAUUAAUGGCAAUAAGGUUGACUAGUCACAGUGCCCAAGUGGUUCUCACUAGCCUUUCAGUGAACCAGGCCCAAUUAGAGUAACCUCUAUGAACUGAGGGCCCUACUGAGCCAGUAGCUUUGCUUCAUGCACUAGAGUGGGGGAUAAAUUUCCUCUGUAAGGGAUAGCUGCUAUCACCUCAUGUACAGAUGAGAUACUUCUGGGACCAGGACAGCUGUAUUCUUAAAUAUACCAUGUGCAUUUUACACAGGUAUGAGGCCUGAGUACUUUACAUCUUAUUAGCCAGUUAAGUCCAAGAUGACACCCUAAAAUUGGAAUAUCAAGUCAGAGUCAGGUGUCUAGUGUAAAAGAGCCCAAGAGUAAGCUAAUGGCUGCUUUACAAAAGGAGUAUACUUCAUAGCCUCAUUAGGGUAUCAAGUCAAAUAACCCUUCUCCCCCACCCCAAGGGCAUCUCCUUUUGCUAGAAAUUCCAAUCAACAGAAUGACAAGUCACAGAGACUUGAAGCCCAAAGUAGUCAUUAAGGGCUGUGAGGCCUCAAAGUUAUCUUCUUUACACACACCUUUUCCUGACUAGGAGAACCUCCUCUGAGUUAUGGGAAGGGGAAGUAUAGCAUAGAACACAUUCCUACUAUACUUUAGAAAUAAUCCCAGUAUACUGUACUGGCCUAAAGGGCCUCCUUUAUUCCAAGAUCAAAUUCAUUUCCCUUCCCUACUGUAAACCCUGCCCUAACAACAUUUUCUAAAUCUAGAUACCCUCUAAUCCCAUGGAAAUUGAUAAGAUGUUGACUUGGGCACUUGUAUCUCAUAGAUCCAGAAAAGUUUGGACCCCUUUCCUCCCUCAAAGUUCCCCCAAAUACUUGGGUGGGUGUCAAUGGCCUUGUGUCCCCUUUGGAGACAGGAAAAUUUCUCUCCCCUAAAGAAGCGAAUGUUGGGGUAUAUGGAGGUAAAAGGAAGUGUCGAAGGAGAGUGGCUUCAUGACAUUAAACAAGCCACAUUUACUUUAGUUGCAUGAGGUAUACUCAUAUUUUAACCAAAAAACCUUUCAACCUUUUGGUUCAUUGAAAGCCCUGUUACAGGUGUAUUAUUUAUUUCAUUACAUUGAAAGAAGGUGAUUUUUUUUUUAAAUGAAUUCUCUGAUGAUCUUUGAGAGACUCCUCCCAACACCAAACUUUAAUAAGUGUUAUACCCGCUGGCUGACAUAAGCUUGGCUUACUCAAAUAGUUUUCUACCUCCCCAGCAGAGGGAUGGCUAAAUUAUGUUCAAAAGCAAAUAGACCUAAACAUUUAAGAGCUUAAUAGAACAAAAGCUUACUUCUUAAUUAUAAAAUGUUCAAAUGGUAAAGAUGGGAAUGAGAAUUUUGUUCCACAUAUUCCAGGCACCCUUUUAUCUUAUAAAAGCUGUGCCAUGUUGAAGCAUGAUACCCAAGGUUGUCUUGGGUCAUCUCUGUUUUAUUCUGACAGUAUCCCUGUAGUUUGUCAGGGAGGUCUUUUGUCAGAACUAGAUACGGCAUACAACAUGAACAUUCAAAGUCCACCAGCCCUAUUUGGAGGAAAGGGAGACCCAGACAAUUACGUGUGAGUUAUCUUAAAAGGCAUGGCUUCUUUCAAGAGGGCUUUCCAUAGUAUCUUGAAAGGAGUAUCAGCCUGUGUGCAUUCUCUGAUAUAUAUUCAAGGUUGCUUUUUGGAUAAAGGUUUUCCUACAUUCAUAUGUAUGUGGUUCCUCUCUUGUGUGG